rnacentral:misc_RNA from 1 species
AAAGAUUAAAAAAAUGAAUGACAAAAUGAAAUGUACAAUUGCUAAAUAGGGAUAAAUAAAAAUUUACAUAAUGCUAUGAGACGAUAUCUGCAUCACAGGCUGCAGUGUUAUGCUAUUAUAUUCAUACAUGCAGUUUGCUGAAAUGACAUAGUGAAAGCAGUAACAUUUUGUUUUUCUUUUGGAAAUUGGGGGCCAAAUGGGCA